rnacentral:rRNA from 1 species
UACGUAGGGCGCAAGCGUUGUCCGGAAUUAUUGGGCGUAAAGAGCUCGUAGGCGGUCUGUCGCGUCGGAUGUGAAAGCCCGGGGCUUAACCCCGGGUCUGCAUUCGAUACGGGCAGACUAGAGUGUGGUAGGGGAGAUCGGAAUUCCUGGUGUAGCGGUGAAAUGCGCAGAUAUCAGGAGGAACACCGGUGGCGAAGGCGGAUCUCUGGGCCGGUACUGACGCUGAAGCGCGAAAGCGUGGGGAGCAAACGGG